UUGGAAGCUGCACUUACUACGUGGCGGAUUCUGACUGUGAAGGUCUGGACGGACCCCCUGGAAAGGAGGAGUCGGGGCUAAGUCCCUGGUGGCCGGGAGGCUCCGAGAGUAAAGAGGCUUUGGCUGCGGCGCCUCCGUGUCUGUUUGGAAAGGCAAAAGCGAGUCAGAAAAAAAAUAAAUAAAGCGACUGCAGAGCGGUAUGAUCUGGAGGUACCUGCAGGGAUGGGGCGGUGCAGGGGACAGCCCUGUGGCCUGGACGCUGGUUAGGGAUUCAGGGACCUGUACAUAACCCCGUCCGCUCCUUACCGACUGUUAGGGCCCGGCCGGUGCACUCACGUCAUUGUCCAAGGUCACAGAGCAAGUUACAGAAUAGGACUUCAGAGUUCUCUGACUCUGGUGUGGCAGGCUUUGUACCUCCCGCCAGGCUGAAACCAUCAAGAUGAGACGCAGAGCCCGAAGUGGAGAUGCGAAUGGCCAAUCAAGGCUUGCGAACUUCUGCAGCAGUUAAGAACGCCCGGGAGAUUUUUGAGCAGAUGAAAGGAACGAUUAGUUGCACCCUUCAUCCGUGUGUUCAGAAGAGUGGAGGUGAAGAUGACACCUCUUGGAAACCCCAAGAAGAGUUCUUAGGAGGCUGGCAAUUUGUGUAUAUACUUACGUGAUUCCCCAUGCGCGUACAAGCAUGUUCUGUUUACUCCCGUCCAAAACAAAGCAAAACCUGAUCUCCCUCUCCAGCUCUCACCACGUUGCUUUGCCCUCCUGCACAGCAAAACUCUAGACUCCUGUCUUCAUUUCCUUUCUCCCAUUCUUAGGCUCACUACAGUCAGGACUUCCAUCCUAAACUUCACCAGAAUCGUUCUGGCAGUUGCUAGCAAAGGGCCGCUCUUCCGUGCCACAUUUGACUCAGCGACUCAGUCCUUGCCUUGUGAAAUACUUUCCCACUGGUUUUCCUGCUUCCCCAUAAGGCAGUCACUGGGACUGGGAUGGUGCCCCAGUCACUCAGAACGGGAGCCAGGCCUCACGUAGACCACAGGGUGCCCCAGGAUCUGAGUCCCAUGCCUCUUAUUUCCUACUAUGUGCACACUCUGUCCUGACCCUGUGGCCGCCUUGCUGUGAUAAAGCCAGGUCCCACCUAGGGGUCUUCCUGUGAGCUUUGCCUGCCUAGGACACUUCCCUGUGUAUUAGUGUACGGAGGUUGCCAUGUCCAGCACCACAGACUGAGUGGCUUAAACAAUGGGAGUUUAAUUUUUCACAGCUCUGGAAGCUGGAGUCCAAGAUCAAGGUGCCACAGGAUAGGGUUCUUCUGAGCCCUCCUUGGGCUGUAGAUGGCCACCCUCUUGCCUCUUCACUUGCCCAGGCACCCUUGCUGGCUCUCUCUUCUUAUAAGGACAUAUCAGUCAUAUUGGCCUCAUUUUAACUUAGUCAUGGCCUUAAAGAUCUUAUUUCCAAUUACAGUUAAUUCUGAGGGUGGGAGUUGGGAUUUCAACAAUAUGAAAUACAGAUUUAGGGGGGAUAGAACACAACUCCAUAACACCCAGAUAGCCACAAGGUGUGUUCCCUUAGUCAAGGUUUUAUUACCUCACUAUCAAAGCACCUCCUGCACACCUUGUUUAAAACUGAACUGCACCCCUUUACUUCCUGCAUGCCUUCCCUGCUUUAUUUCUCUCCUUAGCCCUUAAAAACUAAUUGCCAUAUUUGUUUUGUUUACUGUCUGUCUCCCGCCACACACUGAUAUUCUGUGAUGAUUUGCUCAUUGACGCACUCCAAGAGCCCUCACACAGGGCAAGGUGGCCAUAAGCUUGAGUAGAUGUUUUUGAAUGGAUGCAUAAAUGCCUGGAGAUGGGGGACAGACAGCAGACAUCAUUUCAACAACCAGAGAUACAAAAACAGAGAUACAUGCUGAGAUGGACAAGGUGCAGGCAGAAAGCCAUGGUAAUGGAAGGGCCAUAAAGAGCCUUUCUCUCACUCAGGAAGAAACAAGCAAAUGUUUCCAUUUUGAAAAAAAAAAUUUUUUUUUUUAAAGUUCUUAGUCGAGGUCAGUUGACUGGGACAAUAACUUGAAGGAGGGUCUCUCUUGAAAAGCGCCUGCCAGGUUUAGGUGGGAUGGAGUCCUGGUGACUAGGCGGGAGCUCUGGGAGCUGAGUCUGAGUGCCUCAGGGAACAGUAAGAAAGUGGGACCCAGAGUGACAGAUGGUCAAUGUGCCUGAACCAGGAGAAGCUGGCACUUAGCCACCCUGAACCAGGGCUGCCAGAACAGCGAGCUUAGACCAGGAGGUCAGCAAAACAGGGCUGAGAUUUAGGAAUUGAAAGUGCAUUAACAGUUGAGGAUGGGUUUGGUUGUAAAUAUCAGAAACAUUCACCAGUGGCAAAGAUGCAUGCAGGGUUUAUUUUUCUCCAGCAGCCCCACAGUGAUUUAGACUUAUGCUCUAUUCUUCUAUACUUCAGGUAUGUCCCUCAUUUCUCCUGGUGGUCAUCUCAACUCCAGCAUCACUCUCUACAGGAAGAGAAAGGGAAGCACAAGAGCGUGUAACACUGGAUCUGUCCUAUCAAAGGGCUUUCCAAGCUUCUGUUUGCGUCUCACAGAUCAGCCUGUUUCAAACAGCCACCGAAGUACAAGGGAAGCUAAUGCCAAUGCGGAAGGAAGGGGUACUUGCAACCAGCCUUACUGAAGUCUGACCCAUGUCCCCCAUGCUGCACCUUCUGGGAGGAUACCCGUGGGCGAGUUUCAAUAAAUACAUACACGGCAGUCGAGAUACAGAAAGUCCCCAUUUCUGUCCUUGGGCCCUUUUUAAGCAGUCAAUCCCUCCUCCCAUCUUGGCCCCAGAUAAUCACUGAUCUGUUUUCUGUCACAAUAAAUUAGUCUGCCUUUUCUGUAAUCUUUAAUGCAAUCG
rnacentral:lncRNA from 1 species